ACUUACCUGUGUGAAGCCAGCAAAAUGCUUUAAACUCUUGAAUCAGAGCCUGAUAAAGGGUAAGUACUGUAUUCCUUUAUAAACUUGUUUUAUGGUGGUUUUCAGGGAAAAACAUUAAACCAAGUGGGCUUCCUCUGGGUUCAUUAGGUGACUACUGAAAAUGGUUGUUUCAGGGUAACAGAAACCCUUAGAAAUCUUUUUUCCACGUUCUCUUGGAACUUCACCAGCCACAAGCACAAUGGGGGGCGGAGGGAGGAAAGUCUUACAUCCCAUUGUCUCCACAGGACUCCCUGUUCCCUACUGAACGCCAGUGUCAAUUUUUCCGAACAGCUUUGUCUUUCUGCCAAAGAUAAUGUACAUGUUUGGAGUGUGUGGGUAAAGAUUAAAACCUUGUGGAUGCUUUGCAGUACUUAAGACUAGCUUCAAACAUCUCAACAAAAUAGUAAAGCUAUAAGUAUCAAAAUAGUGUACAUCACUUUAUAUAUAUAUAUUAUUUUUUUAAAUAAAUCUGUGUGGAAAUAAGUUCUCUUAAAAAGCUCUAUUAGUCAGUUCUUUUUUUUUUUUUUUUUUUUUUUUUUUGUGGGAGGCUUCUGGUAUGUGGUUUUGCUCCUCCUUGAACAUGACAAAGUGAAACUAAAGGAAAAAAAUUUCUGCCUCCUUUCUGAACUUAACAACAUGAUUUUUUCCAAAAACAGAAGAGAGUUCAAGACCAUAAAAAUAUUAUUGCUAAAUUUUAAUCCCCUGAAAAGGUCAGGCUAAACCAAACAAAGUCCAUUGAGGAGAAGUUGUUUUUAUCUAGGCAUUAACUUCAGUGGUGCUGUGAAAGCCUGCUCCAGGGUAGGUUCACUAUGCAAAUGUCAAAUGGGAAUGUGUUCUUCUCAAGCUGUCUCUUCCUGCAUGGUUAUUGAAGGAUAAAACUUAAUUCUGGGAAGAUUAUUCCCCAUCAGUAUCUCAGGACCAAAUGCAUACAUCUAUAGUAUGUCCUCUGUGUCACCAGGGCUUGGCUGGCUGAGGGAGACACUGUGUGACAGCAGCCACUGGUGAGAGACUUCAAGGGCCUGCAGUGAGAAGAGUGACUGGGUAGUGAGGAGAAACAGUUACCUGAAGUCUCACAUUUGAGCCCCUAACAGCAGCAGAUUUUCUUAUUCCUCCCUCUGUACCUGUUCCAUUCAGUUACAAUUCCACCUUGGCAAGCACUGCCACAGAGGAACCAUCAGCACUAGUUUAAGUACUGUGUUUCCUGUCCUUCAAAACAUUCAAACAACCUUGCACUUGGCCUCAUGAAGUUCACAAGGGCCAAGCUCUCCAGCCUGUCCAGUCCCUGAGGAUGGCAUUCCUUCCCUCCAGUGAGUCAGGCACACCACACAGUUCGGUGUUGGUGAAUUUGCUGAGGCUACACUCAAUCCCCGUGUCCGUGUCACUGAUGCUACAAAGUGCCAAUCCCAACACCAGCCCUUGAGGAGCAUCACUCAUCUCUGGUCUCCACCUGGACAUUGAGCUGUUGACUCUGGGUGUGACCAUCUAACCAGUCCAUCACCCACCAAGUAUCCAUCUGCCAAAUCCAUGUCUUCCCACUUCAGAGACAAGGCUGUUGUGAGGCACAGUGCCAGGUGCUUUGCACUGCUCCAGGCAGGUGAUGUUGCUCUCCUCUCAUCCAUCACCAGCUGUAACCCCAUCCCAGCAGGCCACCACACUGUCAGGCAUGACUUGCCCUUGGUGAAGCCAUGCCCUCAGGCUGCCAUCACUCUCCUCCUUAUUCUCCAUAUGCCUUAGCAUAGCUCCAGGAGAAUCUGCUCCAUCAUCUUGCCAGGCACUCAGGUGAGACUGACUGGCCGGUAGAUGAUGUUCUUUUGAAGAAUACACUGUCAGAAAAGGACAUGGAAACACUGCUCCCCGGUUUCCUUCAACUGGAAGCCAGAAUGUCCCUUUGGGGCCUUUGCCCAGGUGAAACUGCACACUUCAGUCAUGUUAGGAAAAAGAAAGUCGGUUGCUUUUGCAGAUUCUUGCCUUAUAAAAACUGAAUCAUCUCAUGAGUGGUGUUAAAGGCUGAUGGUUGGGCUGGAUCUCAAAGGCCUCUUCCAAGCUUACUGUGGCAAUUUACACUGUAUCUGUCACACUUCAGGAAAGCAGAUUUUCUGAGACAAGAGAGUCGUGCGUUGUCUUUAGAUGGCAUUACAACCUAUAAUCCACAGUUGGCUGGGUGACUUCACUGGUGGUUCCAGCCAAAGGGCUAAACACGAGCCAUAAGAAGACAGAAAGCUCUGGGAUAUGUCAGGAAGACACAGCUGUUAUGGUGCAGUGAAAAGACAGAGAUGUUUGGGGGGCAAUUCCAUCUUCCUCUGCCAAACUAUUGAAGUCCUGUUCCUUCCUCCUCACUUGGCUUUCUCUAUGAUUGCUGAUCAGGUUGUAUUAAAACAAAGAGUGAUUCUGUCCUUUGGCCUCAGGAAAUCACUGAGUUUUGAAACAAAUGUAGCUUCUGUGCUGUUUUGCAGUACAAGUGGCAUUAAAAAAUGGAAAGCAUUGCAGUAAUAUUGAUCCACCCCACCCUCCUCCUUAAAAAAAAAAUCUCAUUUUUCUAUGUUUCAGAUUACAAUUAAACUACCAGCAAUAACCUCUGAAAAGCUGUCUAUUGCUGCUUGGCUUGUACACUGCAAACCCCUGAGUGCUCAACAGUCAAAGGUUUUGUGCAGCAAUUUGAAGUAUCCUCUUGUGAAAACAGCAGCUCUGGUUUUAUAACUAGUGCACUACCAUAACACUGUUUUUACUAGCUCAAGGUUCAAUUUCAAUACAAUAAUAAAUAACAAAACCUUCUUCAAACAGCUCCUUAAAAAUAGUUUUAAAAAGAAACUGCAUGGACAGCAACUCUUCCUGUUUAGGGAAAUGACUAAAGGCCAUGCAGUCUCUCCCUCCUGUUAAUGAGGAAGAGGAGAAAGAGAGAAAUGACAAGACUCAGACACUGCUGUCCUGAAUGAUGGAGCUGGCACUCAACAUCGUAGCUCUUGUGUGAAUGGGACCAGAAAUUCUUUGUGCUCUGCAAUCUCACCCCACUCGUGCUGCAGGAAGCAGCUGACUGGCCUUUUCCACCCACCACAUCCUUUGGAAUGAAGAUGAUAUCUCCCUGCAACCACUGCCUACAGACAAGAUGCCACAAGCAAACAGGUGUUUUCAGCAGGCAGGCAGGAAGGGAGAAAAAUAAAUAAACCUGAGUCUGCAAGAGAGGAAGAAGGCUGUGACACACUUUCUAAUACUUUCACGUUGAAUUUUAUCCCAACCAGCAAAUCCUGCCUGUCUCAGAUCCAAUGAAAGGGCUUUUCACUGCUUCAGAGAGCAGGACUAGACAGUUAUGUUAAAACAAAUAAUAAAACAAAGGGAGAGUCAUUUAACAAAGUCAAGUUUGCCAGCAAGUUUUCCUGUGGAUAAGUAUACCAGUGUUUGCUAACUAUGCAAAAUUAGCCAAAGGUCAUAUUGGCUGUGUCCCAAAUUGCAGACAAACCUUUGAGUGGAGCAAAGACUUCAGUUUCUGCUGCAGCAUCACACCCUUCUGCUUAUGUCCUUUAAUGUUUACAUAACCUUGAGUCUAGAGCCAAUGAAAAAGGGUUUAUAUUUUUUCUAAAAAUGUCAGCCCAUGUUUAAAAACAAAGCAAAAAAGCCCAGCCCUUCCCUACAGAGAGACCAAUUCAAAAACUUCUAAAACAAAGACCUUGAAAACCUGUAUCUUGUUUUGGCAUGUGAAAAAAUAAUAAAUAAAAAAUUCCU